GCGAACCGGAAAGGGGUCGGCAACUUACCUUCAGGUCUACUGGUGAAGGUUUUGGGGUCGGGAAGGAACAGACUUGGGCGGAAAGACUAAAGCAAUAAGGCUUGAGCGGCGGUGAGGUUUGACGGUGCUCCGACGCCGACGGAGCUUCAUGUGGGCAACAAGAAAGCUCUAGCACAGCGCGGGGAGCAGACGGCUGGUGGGUUGGGGAGAAGCGAGUUCGAGC
rnacentral:lncRNA from 1 species